UAGCCACUGGAAACGGUGAUUAAUACCGGAUACUCCUUCUCAUUAUAAGAUGAGUCGGGAAAGUUUUUCGCUAAGGGAUCAGCCUAUGUCCUAUCAGGUAGUUGGUGAGGUAACGGCUCACCAAGCCAAUGACGGGUAUCUGGUUUGAGAGGAUGAUCAGACACACUGGAACUGAGACACGGUCCAGACUCCUACGGGAGGCAGCAGUGAGGAAUAUUGCACAAUGGAGGAAACUCUGAUGCAGCAACGCCGCGUGGAGGAUGACGCAUUUCGGUGUGUAAACUCCUUUUAAGAGGGAAGAUUAUGACGGUACCUCUUGAAUAAGCACCGGCUAACUCCGUGCCAGCAGCCGCGGUAAUACGGAGGGUGCAAGCGUUACUCGGAAUCACUGGGCGUAAAGGGUGCGUAGGCUGACUUUUAAGUCAGGCGUGAAAUCCAAUGGCUUAACCAUUGAACUGCGCUUGAAACUGGGAGUCUAGAGUUCAGAAGGGGCAGAUGGAAUUAGUGGUGUAGGGGUAAAAUCCGUAGAUAUCACUAGGAAUAUCAAAAGCGAAGGCGAUCUGCUGGGAUGAUACUGACGCUGAGGCACGAAAGCGUGGGGAGCAAACAGGAUUAGAUACCCUGGUAGUCCACGCCCUAAACGAUGAAUGCUAGUCGUCGGGGAGCUCGUCUCUUCGGUGAUGCACUUAACAGAUUAAGCAUUCCGCCUGGGGAGUACGGUCGCAAGAUUAAAACUCAAAGGAAUAGACGGGGACCCGCACAAGUGGUGGAGCAUGUGGUUUAAUUCGAAGAUACACGAAGAACCUUACCUGGCCUUGACAUGGUAGGAACCCUGUAGAGAUACGGGGGUGCUGGCUUGCUAGAGCCUACACACAGGUGCUGCACGGCUGUCGUCAGCUCGUGUCGUGAGAUGUUGGGUUAAGUCCCGCAACGAGCGCAACCCUCGUCCUUAGUUGCUAACGGUUCGGCCGAGCACUCUAAGGAGACUGCCUUCGCAAGGAGGAGGAAGGUGAGGACGACGUCAAGUCAUCAUGGCCCUUACGGCCAGGGCUACACACGUGCUACAAUGGGGCGUACAGAGAGCUGCGAUACCGCGAGGUGGAGCCAAUCUCUUAAAGCGUCUCUCAGUUCGGAUUGUUCUCUGCAACUCGAGAA
rnacentral:rRNA from 1 species